GAGGGAAAGUUGAAAAGAACUUAGAGGUGAGAGUUCAACAGGGCGUGAAACUGCUUAGAAGUAAACGGAUAGUGCUGACAUUAUCUCUGUCGGAUUCAACUGGCCUUUUGGCAGUGUCAUUGACGGUGAUCGUGAAGACGCCGUGUGGUGAAUUUCUGCCUCAGGUUGGCGCAUUUCCGGCAGAGUGCAUUGUGACCGACAGCCUCGCUGGCAAACGGCGGGAGGAUUGCCGACUCUGGGUCUUCGGAUCCGCAGUGCCCCAUCCUCCAUGUCCUGACCGAGUUGUGGCUGUCGGAAACCUAACGCGCCCGCUUUGCUCGUAGUGCGUGGCCACUGGGUUGACCGAAUCUAUGCGCCUUGCUUGCAAGGUGCGUUAACCCUCGAUUCUCUUGGCUGCGUUCUUUCGAGUGGCGCUUAAGGUCUACGAUGUCCGCGUCAGUCCCCUAUCCGACCCGUCUUGAAACACGGACCGCGAAGUCUAACAUGUGCGCAAGUCAAUGGGUGGCAAACCCAAAGGCGAAAUGAAAGUAAAGGCCGCAAGGCCGAGGUGUGAUGUCUGGCUUGACCGGAUCGCAACACCGCCCCAUCACAUCGGCAUGUCCGAGUGGUGGAGGAAGAGCGUACAUGUUAGGACCCGAAAGAUGGUGAACUAUGCCUGAGCAGGAUGAAGCCAGAGGAAACUCUGGUGGAGGUCCGAAACGGUUCUGACGUGCAAAUCGAUCGUCAGACUUGGGC
rnacentral:rRNA from 1 species